rnacentral:rRNA from 1 species
GACGAACGCUGGCGGCGUGCUUAACACAUGCAAGUCGAACGGAAAGGCUCCAGCUUUCUGGAGUACUCGAGUGGCGAACGGGUGAGUAACACGUGGGUAAUCUGCCCUUCACUCUGGGAUAAGCCUGGGAAACUGGGUCUAAUACUGGAUAUGACCUUUCUCCUCAUGGGGUUUGGUGGAAAGUUUUGCGGUGUAGGAUGAGCCCGCCGCCUAUCAGCUUGUUGGUGGGGUGAUGGCCUACCAAGGCGUCGACGGGUAGCCGGCCUGAGAGGGUGAUCGGCCACAUUGGGACUGAGAUACGGCCCAGAAGCCUACGGGAGGCAGCAGUGGGGAAUAUUGCACAAUGGGGGGAAGCCUGAUGCAGCGACGCCGCGUGAGGGAUGACGGCCUUCGGGUUGUAAACCACUUUCAGCAGGGACGAAGCGUAAGUGACGGUACCUGCAGAAGAAGCACCGGCUAACUAUGUG